AUGGGAGGCUGCUGGGGGCGUCAGCUCCUUGGCUGUGGUCUGCAGGUAAGGUUUCCAGCUGGCUCUUGGCACUUGCAAGCAGCUCUCCGUCCAGGUGUCCGCACCGAUACCUCGUGGGCAUUUAUCCUCAUCUCCUACCCUCUGGGCUCCGUUUUCUGCUUUGGUGCUUGUUGGGAUGAGCAAGUGCCCGCAGCCUGGCCGUGCUGGGCGGGGUUGUACUGGGCGGAGGUUUUGUGCUGGGGGAGGUGGUGGGGUUUGGGCAGAUGGGCCCCUGCGGUAACCUGGAAGGAAAGUGGAAACGCUCAGCGUUGGGAGCUGCAGGCAUCCAAGCAGGCAGGAUGAGGCUCCCUUUCUCCUGCGGUGUUCCUGCCUGCGAGGCUCCCCCAGCAGCUUGCAGGCGUCUGUUUAUCCUCAAGAUCCGCAGCUGAAAUUCCCCCUGGAUCCGAGUCUCGCAGCAGCACGAGGUGCUCCCCCCUUGGAGCCAGGCAGCUUCGCAGGGCUGCAAGCUUCCUCUGCUCAAGCUCUGUCCUCGGUAACGCCCUGGGGGGCACCAGGUACUUGUGCAGGAGGCAAAGCUGGCUGAAGGAGCUCCCGUUUCUGCCCUUCGCUCCUGGAGCUUCUGGCGGGGGAGCAGAGCUGCCCCUCGCUGCUGAGCAUAAGCCGCAGCCCAGAGGCGACCGCAGCCAAAAUAAGAUUGAUGGCACGUGCUGGGAGCACGGCCCGAGGACGGCUAUCGGUGGCCAUGGCUUUAAAAUACUGUUAACAGGGGAUAAGUCCCCAUGAUUUAGAGCACUCAGCAAUUACAUCUCUGUUUGAAAUUUCCUAACGAUAGGAUCAGACUCCGAGUCCUGCUUGCUUUUCCAGUAGAAUUAAUAGGACUGGAGAUACGCAAUUAGGCGAUGCCAAGGCUGGGAGGGCGGAUCGAUGCCUUGUGGUUACCUAAUGAAGCGUUAAAUUACGUCUUUCCGUGGCCCCCUGCACCGGCCUGGGCUGCGAGGGGAUGGGUGCUGCCAGCUUCUGCCGUACACGCGCUCAUCCUUUAAAUCCCCUACACCCCCUGCCCUUUGUGCCACACGGGCAGCUCCUGCAGGACCCCUGCAUCCGGCCACCACCCCGGUGCUGACAAAAAGCCACCCGUCCUCCUUGUUCCCC
rnacentral:lncRNA from 1 species